CGGCGAGCUUAACACAUGCAAGUCGCACGAGAACGCUUCAGCUUGCUGAAGUCAGUAAAGUGGCGCACGGGUGAGUAACGCGUGGGUAAUCUACCCUCGAAUUGGGGAUAACCCGCCGAAAGGCGGGCUAAUACCGAAUGACAUCCUGAAAAUCUAUGUUUUCAGGAUCAAAGGUGGUCUCUACAUGUAAGCUAUUGUUUGGGGAUGAGCCCGCGUACCAUUAGCUUGUUGGUAGGGUAAUGGCCUACCAAGGCUACGAUGGUUAGCUGGUCUGAGAGGAUGAUCAGCCACACUGGAACUGACACACGGUCCAGACUCCUACGGGAGGCAGCAGUGAGGAAUUUUGCGCAAUGGGGGAAACCCUGACGCAGCAACGCCGCGUGAGUGAUGAAGGCUUUCGGGUCGUAAAGCUCUGUCAAGUGGGAAGAACCCAUAUGGUUGUUAAUCCCGCCCUUGUGCUGACCGGUACCACUUGAAGGAAGCACCGCC
rnacentral:rRNA from 1 species